rnacentral:rRNA from 1 species
GAUGAACGCUGGCGGCGUGCCUAAUACAUGCAAGUCGAGCGAAUGGAUUAAGAGCUUGCUCUUAUGAAGUUAGCGGCGGACGGGUGAGUAACACGUGGGUAACCUGCCCAUAGGACUGGGAUAACUCCGGGAAACCGGGGCUAAUACCGGAUAAUAUUUUGAACUGCAUGGUUCAAAAUUGAAAGGCGGCUUCGGCUGUCACUUAUGGAUGGACCCGCGUCGCAUUAGCUAGUUGGUGAGGUAACGGCUCACCAAGGCAACGAUGCGUAGCCGACCUGAGAGGGAGAUCGGCCACACUGGGACUGAGACACGGCCCAGACUCCUACGGGAGGCAGGAGUAGGGAAUCUUCCGCAAUGGACGAAAGUCUGACGGAGCAACGCCGCGUGAGUGAUGAAGGCUUUCGGGUCGUAAAACUCUGUUGUUAGGGAAGAACAAGUGCUAGUUGAAUAAGCUGGCACCUUGACGGUACCUAACCAGAAAGCCACGGCUAACUACGUGCCAGCCGCCGCAGUAA